GGGGCUUCCUCCGAAAAGGGUACAAAAAAAUGUCUGAGACUCUAAGACCCCUAAGAGACAAAUGUUGCGCUUGACACCCAAAGAACCACCAUUUUGUUUCUUCUUCUUCAACGAACCCUCCUCUCCAAAACACAACAGAACACACUAUGCCCCAACGACAAUGACCAGACCAACCGUUCCACCACCAUAAUCGUCGGUAAAUCCCCAUUGACGGUGAGCUUCUCAAAAAGCUUCACCGUUAGGCUCAAAACGAGUAGAUCUAACGAGACACACACACCCCUCUGCCGAUUUUCUGCUUCUUUCUCUUUGAAUUCGAUUCGAUUUUUGGUUUCACAUUCAUGGCGUUCAUUUGAGUUUGAAAGUUGUUUUGUGUUCAGGUUGAUUCGAGGUCGUUGGUCGUCAUUGUUCAUCAAGGUUCGGUAUUGCGAUUCGCAGUUUCAAAUGGUUUUGAUUGUUGUUUCAGAGUCGAUCGUAGUUGUGGUUUAUUGACGUCCUUGUAACAGUCAGAAUUUUCAUUAAUCAAAGACGCGUUCACAUUUGAGUUUAGGUUAAGAAGUUGUGUGCAAUCGUAUGUUAUCGUUAAUCAUAUUGAGAAUUUCCAGGUAUUUAUUUCACCUUUGCUUCAUAGUAUCUUUAAUUAUUACUCCACUUUUACUAUCGAGUGAAAAAUAUGAUUUCUCAGCAUUGGCUGAUAUAGUAAUUCUCAUAUUUUUCUAUGUUGACUGA
rnacentral:lncRNA from 1 species